UCCGGGGUCGUCUAAUGGUAGGACAGCAGCCUUUGAAGCUGCGUAUCGUGGUUCAAAUCCAUGCCCCGGAGCCA
rnacentral:tRNA from 1 species